AGAGUUUGAUCCUGGCUCAGAUUGAACGCUGGCGGCAGGCUUAACACAUGCAAGUCGAACGGAAACGAUACUAGCUUGCUAGUAGGCGUCGAGUGGCGGACGGGUGAGUAACGCGUAGGAAUCUACCUGAUAGUGGGGGAUAGCCCGAAGAAAUUCGGAUUAAUACCGCAUAAUCUAUUCGUAGUAAAGUGGGGGACUUUCGAGCCUCACGCUACCAGAUGAGCCUGCGUAAGAUUAGCUAGUUGGUAGGGUAAAAGCCUACCAAGGCGACGAUCUUUAGCUGGUCUGAGAGGAUGAUCAGCCACAUCGGGACUGAGACACGGCCCGAACUCCUACGGGAGGCAGCAGUGGGGAAUAUUGGACAAUGGGGGCAACCCUGAUCCAGCAAUACCGCGUGUGUGAAGAAGGCCUGAGGGUUGUAAAGCACUUUCAAUUGUGAAGAAAAGCUAGUGGUUAAUAGCCAUUAGCCUUGACGUUAACUUUAGAAGAAGCACCGGCUAACUCCGUGCCAGCAGCCGCGGUAAUACGGAGGGUGCAAGCGUUAAUCGGAAUUACUGGGCGUAAAGCGUGCGUAGGCGGUUUAUUAAGUCAGAUGUGAAAGCCCCGGGCUUAACCUGGGAACUGCAUUUGAAACUGGUCAACUAGAGUAUGGUAGAGGAAAGUGGAAUUUCUGGUGUAGCGGUGAAAUGCGUAGAUAUCAGAAGGAACAUCAAUGGCGAAGGCAACUUUCUGGACCAAUACUGACGCUGAGGUACGAAAGCGUGGGUAGCAAACAGGAUUA
rnacentral:rRNA from 1 species